UACAGAGGUCCUAAGCGUUGUUCGGAUUCACUGGGCGUAAAGGGUGCGUAGGCGGUCGGGUAAGUCUGAUGUGAAAUCUCACAGCUUAACUGUGAAACUGCAUUGGAUACUAUCCGGCUAGAGGAAUGGAGGGGAGACUGGAAUACUUGGUGUAGCAGUGAAAUGCGUAGAUAUCAAGUGGAACACCAGUGGCGAAGGCGAGUCUCUGGACAUUUCCUGACGCUGAGGCACGAAAGCCAGGGGAGCAAACGGG
rnacentral:rRNA from 1 species